GAUUUCUGGUCUGGUGCGCCUGGCCCGCCGCAUCAGCGUGUGAGUGCCGGGUCGCGCCUGCCAUCCUUCUAGAAAACGUAUCUACCCUUCACUGGGCCGGAUACGCGAUCUAGAUCUUUUACUUUGAAAAAAUUAGAGUGUUUAAAGCAGGCAUUUGCUAUGAAUACAUUAGCAUGGAAUAAUAAUUUAGGACUUUGGUCUUAUUUUGUUGGUUUCUAGGACUAAAGUAAUGAUUGAUAGGGACAGUUGGGGGUGCUAGUAUUCAGCGGCCAGAGGUGAAAUUCUUGGAUUCGCUGAAGACUAACUUAUGCGAAAGCAUU
rnacentral:rRNA from 1 species